GCAGAUGGUGGGCCGGCGGCUAUACAUGCAGUCGAGCGAAUGGAUUGAGAGCUUGCUCUCAAGAAGUUAGCGGCGGACGGGUGAGUAACACGUGGGUAACCUGCCCAUAAGACUGGGAUAACUCCGGGAAACCGGGGCUAAUACCGGAUAACAUUUUGAACUGCAUGGUUCGAAAUUGAAAGGCGGCUUCGGCUGUCACUUAUGGAUGGACCCGCGUCGCAUUAGCUAGUUGGUGAGGUAACGGCUCACCAAGGCAACGAUGCGUAGCCGACCUGAGAGGGUGAUCGGCCACACUGGGACUGAGACACGGCCCAGACUCCUACGGGAGGCAGCAGUAGGGAAUCUUCCGCAAUGGACGAAAGUCUGACGGAGCAACGCCGCGUGAGUGAUGAAGGCUUUCGGGUCGUAAAACUCUGUUGUUAGGGAAGAACAAGUGCUAGUUGAAUAAGCUGGCACCUUGACGGUACCUAACCAGAAAGCCACGGCUAACUACGUGCCAGCAGCCGCGGUAAUACGUAGGUGGCAAGCGUUAUCCGGAAUUAUUGGGCGUAAAGCGCGCGCAGGUGGUUUCUUAAGUCUGAUGUGAAAGCCCACGGCUCAACCGUGGAGGGUCAUUGGAAACUGGGAGACUUGAGUGCAGAAGAGGAAAGUGGAAUUCCAUGUGUAGCGGUGAAAUGCGUAGAGAUAUGGAGGAACACCAGUGGCGAAGGCGACUUUCUGGUCUGUAACUGACACUGAGGCGCGAAAGCGUGGGGGAGCAAACAGGAUUAGAUACCCUGGUAGUCCACGCCGUAAACGAUGAGUGCUAAGUGUUAGAGGGUUUCCGCCCUUUAGUGCUGAAGUUAACGAAUUAAGCACUCCGCCUGGGGAGUACGGCGGCAAGGCUGAAACUCAAGGAAUUGACGGGGGCCCGCACCAGCGGUGGAGCAUGUGCUUAUUCGAAGCGCGCGAAGAACCUUACCAUGGCUCGACAUCAUCUCGAAACUCUAAAGAUAGGGCUUCUCCUCCAUGAGCGAGAUGGACACGCC
rnacentral:rRNA from 1 species